rnacentral:rRNA from 1 species
AUUGAACGCUGGCGGCAGGCCUAACACAUGCAAGUCGAACGGUAACAGGAAGACGCUUGCUUCUUUGCUGACGAGUGGCGGACGGGUGAGUGAUGUCUGUGAAACUCUCUGAUGGAGGGGGAUAACUACUGGAAACGGUAGCUAUUACCGCAUAACGUCGCAAGACCAAAGAGGGGGACCUUCGGGCCCCUUGCCAUCGGAUGUGCCCAGAUGGGAUUAGCUAGUAGGUGGGGUAACGGCUCACCUAGGCGACGAUCCCUAGCUGGUCUGAGAGGAUGACCAGCCACACUGGAACUGAGACACGGUCCAGACUCCUACGGGAGGCAGCAGUGGGGAAUAUUGGACAAUGGGCGCAAGCCUGAUGCAGCCAUGCCGCGUGUAUGAAGAAGGCCUUCGGGUUGUAAAGUACUUUCAGCGGGGAGGAAGGGAGUAAAGUUAAUACCUUUGCUCAUUGACGUUACCCGAAGAAGAAGCACCGGCUAACUCCGUG